AGAUGCCAUCCAGGCGCACGGCGGGUAUAGUGGUUCCGCAACCUUGGGAUGUUCGGCUGAGCGCCUGCCUAACAUGGGAGCGCCUGCCUAACCCUCCUGACUGGAGGGUCAGCGGCGGGGAGUCCUGGCCUUCAAUCGGCCAUCGCCACGGCAGAAACUGGGGCCCGGGCUGCGUCCAGGCCCUUCCCCGUCCGUCCACAGGUCUCAUGGGCGCCCGGACUGGGGCUGAUGUAGUUUCCCGACCUCUGACACAUAGGAUCUGGAGAUUAAAGGUAUAAAAACGGGGACUUUUCAGCCCACUCAAGUAAAACACCCUUUUAUUUUUCGGCAGGUGUUUUGUUGCAGAAUGCCCUGAGGGGAGGGAGUGACUGCUGGGUUUCGGUUUAUAAAAUAAAAUAAACUCCUGAUUUAGAUUAUGUUUAAUAUGGCUCCCCAACCUUUAAAAAUCCCACUUUUUGCCAGUUGUAUUAUUUAGUGGGAUGUUGAAGGGGGGGGCCUGCGCCUCCACACCUGUGGGCGUUUCUCCUCAGGUGGGAUGAAAGACUGAGAAAAGAAAAAGACACAGAGACAAAGUAUACAGAAAGAAAAGUGGGCCCAGGGGACCAGCGCUCAGCAUAUGGAGGACAGUAGGGUAAUAGUGGGGAGAGGGUCAGCAGGAAAACAUGUGAACAAAGGUCUGUCAUAAACAAGGUUAAGAAAAGGUGCUGUGCUUUGGUGUGCGCGUACGCAAACAUCUCGGUGCAUUAAAGAGCAGUAUUGCUGCCAGCGUGUCUCACCUCCAGCCUUAAGGCAGUUUUCACCUAUCUCAGUAAAUAGAACAUACAAUCGGGUUUUACACGGAGACAUUCCAUUGCCCAGGGAUGAGCAGGAGACAGAUGCCUUCCUCUUACCUCAACUGCAAAGAUGCCCUCCUCUUUCACUAAUCCUCCUCAGCACAGACCCUUUAUGGGUGUCCGGCUGGGGGAUGGUCAGGUCUUUCCCUUUGCUCUGUUACCAGGCUGGAGUGCAGUGGCACAAUCUCCACUCACUGCAAUUUCUACCUCCCAGAUUCAAGUGAUUCUCUUACUUCAGCCUCCUGAGUAGCUGGGAUUACAGGCGCGUGUCACCACGCCCAGCUAAUUUUUGUAUUUUUAGUAGAGAUGGGGUUUCACCAUGUUGGCCAGGAUGAUCUCGAUCUCUUGACCUCAUGAUUUGCCCGCCUCGGCCUCCCAAAGUGG
rnacentral:lncRNA from 1 species